UACGGGGGGGGCAAGCGUUGUUCGGAAUUACUGGGCGUAAAGGGCUCGUAGGCGGCCAACUAAGUCGGACGUGAAAUCCCCAGGCUCAACCUGGGAACUGCGUCCGAUACUGGAUGGCUUGAAUUCGGGAGAGGGAUGCGGAAUUCCAGGUGUAGCGGUGAAAUGCGUAGAUAUCUGGAGGAACACCGGUGGCGAAGGCGGCAUCCUGGACCGAGAUUGACGCUGAGGCGCGAAAGCCAGGGGAGCAAACGGG
rnacentral:rRNA from 1 species